rnacentral:rRNA from 1 species
AUUGAACGCUGGCGGCAUGCCUUACACAUGCAAGUCGAACGGUAACAGGUCUUCGGAUGCUGACGAGUGGCGAACGGGUGAGUAAUGCAUCGGAACGUGCCCAGUUGUGGGGGAUAACUGCUCGAAAGAGCAGCUAAUACCGCAUACGACCUGAGGGUGAAAGCGGGGGAUCGCAAGACCUCGCGCAAUUGGAGCGGCCGAUGUCAGAUUAGGUAGUUGGUGGGGUAAAGGCCUACCAAGCCGACGAUCUGUAGUUGGUCUGAGAGGACGACCAGCCACACUGGGACUGAGACACGGCCCAGACUCCUACGGGAGGCAGCAGUGGGGAAUUUUGGACAAUGGGCGCAAGCCUGAUCCAGCAAUGCCGCGUGCAGGAAGAAGGCCUUCGGGUUGUAAACUGCUUUUGUCAGGGAAGAAAUCCUCUGGGUUAAUACCCCGGGGGGAUGACGGUACCUGAAGAAUAAGCACCGGCUAACUACGUGCCAGCCGCCGCAGUAA